rnacentral:rRNA from 1 species
GACGAACGCUGGCGGCGUGCUUAACACAUGCAAGUCGAACGAAGUAGCGGACGGGUGAGUAACGCGUAAUCAACCUGCCCAUCAGCGGGGGACAACAGUUGGAAACGACUGCUAAUACCGCAUAAUGAUGGAGGGGAUUGCGUCUGAUUAGCUGGUUGGGUGGGUAACGGCCCAUCAAGGCGAUGAUCAGUAGCCGGCCUGCGAGGAGGAGCGGCGACAUUGGGCCGGUGACACGACCCAGACUCCUACGGGAGAGAGCAGUGGGGAAUCUUCCGCAAUGGACGAAAGUCGGACUGAUCAACGACGCGGGAGUGACGACUGCAUUCGGGUUGUAAAGCUCUGUUAAGCGUGACGCGGUACCAGAAUAGAAAGCCACGGCUAACUACGUGCCAGCAGCCGCGGUAAUAC